AGCGAACGCUGGCGGCGUGCCUAACACAUGCAAGUCGAACGUGAAAGGGAGCAAUCCCAAGUAAAGUGGCGUACGGGUGAGUAACACGUAGGUAAUCUACCCCAGAAUCUGGAAUAACCGGCCGAAAGGCUGGCUAAUACUGGAUAGAGCGACGGAAUCCGUAAUUGGGUUUUUCGGGAAAGGGAGCCUGUAAAAAGGCCUUCGUUCUGGGAUGAGCCUGCGUCCCAUCAGCUAGUUGGUGAGGUAAAAGCUUACCAAGGCAAUGACGGGUAGCUGGUCUGAGAGGACGAUCAGCCACACUGGAACUGAAACACGGGCCAGACUCCUACGGGAGGCAGCAGUGGGGAAUCUUGCGCAAUGGACGAAAGGCUGACGCGGCAACGCCGCGUGAGUGAAGAAGGCCGUCGGGUUGUAAAGCUCUGUCGAGUGGGACGAAAAUGCUUGGAGUUCACAGCUCCAGGAACUGACGGUACCACUAAAGGAAGCACCGGCUAACUCCGUG
rnacentral:rRNA from 1 species